GUGCUUGCUUCGGCAGCACAUACACUAAAAUGGGAACAAUACAGAGAAGAAUAGCACGGCCCCUGCGCGAGGAUGACAUGCAAAUCCACGAAGCAUUCCAUAUUUUU